UACGAAGGGGGCGAGCGUUGUUCGGAUUUACUGGGCGUAAAGGGCGCGCAGGCGGCAGAUCAAGUCAGACGUGAAAGCCCCGGGCUUAACCUGGGAACUGCGUUUGGGACUGAUUUGCUAGAGAUCGGGAGAGGAGAGUGGAAUUCCCAGUGUAGAGGUGAAAUUCGUAGAUAUUGGGAAGAACACCGGUGGCGAAGGCGGCAUCCUGGACCAUUACUGACGCUGAGGCGCGAAAGCUAGGGGAGCAAACGGG
rnacentral:rRNA from 1 species